UACAGAGGUCUCAAGCGUUGUUCGGAUUCAUUGGGCGUAAAGGGUGCGUAGGCGGCGCGGUAAGUCGGGUGUGAAAUCUCGGAGCUUAACUCCGAAACUGCAUUCGAUACUGCCGUGCUUGAGGACUGGAGAGGAGACUGGAAUUUACGGUGUAGCGGUGAAAUGCGUAGAUAUCGGGAGGAACACCAGUGGCGAAGGCGGCUACCUGGCCCACUCUUGACGCUGAGGCGCGAAAGCUAGGGGAGCAAACGGG
rnacentral:rRNA from 1 species